AUUGAACGCUGGCGGCAGGCCUAACACAUGCAAGUCGAGCGUGAAAGUCCUUCGGGAUGAGUAAAGCGGCGGACGGGUGAGUAACGCGUAGGAAUCUACCUGAUAGUGGGGGAUAACGUCUCGAAAGGGACGCUAAUACCGCAUACGUUCUGAGGAAGAAAGCAGGGGAUCGCAAGACCUUGUGCUAUCAGAUGAGCCUGCGUACGAUUAGCUAGUUGGUGGGGUAAAGGCCUACCAAGGCGACGAUCGGUAACUGGUCUGAGAGGAUGAUCAGUCAAACUGGAACUGAGACACGGUCCAGACUCCUACGGGAGGCAGCAGUGGGGAAUAUUGGACAAUGGGGGCAACCCUGAUCCAGCCAUGCCGCGUGUGUGAAGAAGGCCUUCGGGUUGUAAAGCACUUUAAGCGGGGAGGAAGGCUCCAUGGUUAAUACCCAUGGGGAUUGACGUUACCCGCAGAAUAAGCACCGGCAAACUUCGUGCCAGCCGCCGCCGUAA
rnacentral:rRNA from 1 species